GUUUCAUUUACACGCUGUUUUCGAGAAUUCACAAAUGUGUGCGUGUUAUUAAAGUCAUUAAGGGUGGGGUGAUACAUCAGCGUGAGGAAAUACGUUAUACUGAGGGACCGGGGUGGUGUGAUGAAGAGGAGUUACUGAUUCCACCCUGAAGUGGAUUAUUUUCACAUAUGAGCACGUCCUGAAGAUGUCAGAAAACAAAAUGACGGCUUUACCUCUUGCUGUUACAAAGUAGUGACACUGGAGACUCCUUCCACAAAUGUUAAAUAAACGUCUCCAAAGCUUUGGAGUCGAUUCCCUGAUUCCUGGCGCUGUACACUAAGAGUCAACUCGGAAGGUUUGGAGUCGAUUCCCUGAUUCCUGUCGCUGUACACUAAGAGUCAACUCGGAAGGUUUGGAGUCGAUUCCCUGAUUCCUGGCGCUGUACACUAAGAGUCAACUCGGAAGGUUUGGAGUCGAUUCCCUGAUUCCUGGCGCUGUACACUAAGAGUCAACUCGGAAGGUUUGGAGUCGAUUCCCUGAUUCCUGGCGCUGUACACUAAGAGUCAACUUGAAAGGUUUGGAG
ensembl:lncRNA